AUUGAACGCUGGCGGCAGGCCUAACACAUGCAAGUCGAACGGAGCGGCGUACGGGUGAGUAAUGCCUAGGAAUCUGCCUGGUAGUGGGGGAUAGCGUCCGGAAAGGGGCGCUAAUCCCGCAUACUAUCAGAUGAGCCUAGGUCGGGUUCGCUAGUUGGUGGGGUAAAGGCCUACCAAGGCGACGAUCCGUAACUGGUCUGAGAGGAGGAUCAGUCACAAUGGAACUGAGACACGGUCCAGACUCCUACGGGAGGAAGCAGUGGGGAAUAUUGGACAAGGGGCGAAAGCCUGAUCCAGCCAGGCCGCGUGUGUGAAGAAGGUUUUCGGAUUGUAAAGCACGUUAAGUGGGGAGGCGGUACCAAAAGAAUAAGCACCGGCUAACUUCGUGCCAGCAGCCGCGGUAAUAC
rnacentral:rRNA from 1 species